UACGUAGGGUGCAAGCGUUGUCCGGAAUUAUUGGGCGUAAAGCGCGUGUAGGCGGUUCCGUAAGUCCGCUCUGAAAGCCCAGGGCUCAACCCUGGGAGGCGGGUGGAUACUACGGAACUGGAGUACGGAAGAGGAGAUUGGAAUUCCUGGUGUAGCGGUGAAAUGCGCAGAUAUCAGGAGGAACACCAACAGCGAAGGCAGAUCUCUGGGACGUUACUGACGCUGAGACGCGAAAGCGUGGGGAGCAAACAGG
rnacentral:rRNA from 1 species